rnacentral:lncRNA from 1 species
CCAAAAUGCACACACUUACACGUUAUCCCAGAACUCCCAGCAAAGAAGGAUAAGCUUUUGCAAGCACAAAGUCUCCGGUUGUCAUUCCAGGGCUGCUGUGCCAUAGCUACAUUUAGAAAGUUGCAGGAGAAAAUAAACUGAUUAACAAGCAGCGAAACCUGCAAAUUAUGCCUCACUUAGGCUUAGAUUCAAGAAAACCCAGACCAAGCUUGGGAUUCUAAGAGUCUCUCCGUGCAAGCUGACCUCAUGGAGAAAGUGGCAGAGCUUGUCCCUUCCACUGGGAGACCCUGGAGUUCAUUCAGGAGACUGGAUGCCCCUGGGCUCGGGCUGCACUGUGGACCCCACUGUGGAAUCACCACUCCCAGGCUGACCUCAGGCAGGUUCCAGAUCUGUUCUCCACUUCUGCAACAAAACUUACCCGGGCCAUGGUUUUAUGCAGAAAUCUGACAAGGCAGGUCCAUCAAGAGGUUUCCAGAAGAAGGCAUCGCUAUCACAGGAGAUGGCAGCUCCAUGCCUGUUACUGCCCCUGAAGAUGUUCCAGUGGGACAGGGUGUGGAGGUGGAAGACAGCAACAGUGACGAUCCUGACCCUAAAUUGACCAGAUUGCUUUGAGGAACUAAGAAGCUGUUAAACCUUUGGAAGAACUGGCCUGAUACGUUGUCUACAUGGUUCUCCUACAAGGUGUAUGAGUCCAUUUUUAUGCUGCUGAUAAAGACAUACCUGCAACUAAGAGGAAAAAGUUGUUUAACUGGACUUACAGUUCCACAUGGCUGGGAAGGCCUCAGAAUCAUGGCAGGAGGCGAAAGGCACUUCUUACAUGGUGGCACCAAGGGAAAAUGAGGAUGAUGAAAAAGUGAAAACCCCUGAAAAAAUCAGAUUUUGUGAGACUUAUUCACUACCACGAGAACAGUCUGGGGGAAACCGCUCCCAUGAUUCAAAUUAUCUCCCACCCGGUCCCUGCCCCCGCAACCCCCCCACAACAUAUGAGAAUUACGGGAGUACAAUUCAAGAAGAUUUAGGUGGGGACACAAAGCCAAACCAUAUUACAAGGUUUAUAGCCUUGCAGUAAGUAAAGAAUACCAUUUUCUGACAAGCCCAGGAACUUCAGGAUAUUUUGGGGACCUCAAAAAAGAGGGAUUUACCCAAUUCAUACAAGUAUUACAGGCAAAAUCUGAUGGUGAAUUGCUGGCCUGGCUUCCAAUCUUAAGAGGCUUUUAAAGAUUGAACCUGAAAUUCCUUAUAAAAAAAGUUUCAGUCAAGUCAAUUUAAAAAGUGCUCAGAUGGCCAAGUACAAUUCUGGCUGUACUUUAGUCAAAUACUCAGGCCAAGUAUAACAAGUCUAAGACUUUAUUUUGCAAAUAAAUUGGUCCUACUGUAAACCAAAAAGUGUCUGAGACAAGUUUCAGUCCAUUUAGAAAGUUUAUUUUGCCAAGGUUAAGGACAUACCAGUGACACAGCCUCGGGAGAUCUUGACAACAUGUGCCUAAGGUGGUUGGGGCACAGCUUGGUUUUCUACAUUUUAGGGAGACAUGAGACUCAAUCAUUAUAUGCACGAUGUACAUUGGUUUGGUCCAGAAAAGAGGGACAACUUAAAACCAAAAGAGGGCUUCCAGGUCAGAGGUAGAUAAGAGACAAAUGGUUGCAUUCUUUUGAGUUUCUGAUUAGGCUUUCACUGAAUACACAAUUUACAGAAAUAGUCGCUUAUGCCUUAGUCUGGCUUAGUAAAGCAACAGAACAAAGGAAGCACUCAGAUGCGCGUGUCCCAUGUGAGCAGAGGGAUAACUUUGACAUCUGUUUGUGCUUUGUCUAAAGGAAUUUUUCUUCGUGGGAAAAUUGUAAGGGAGGUAUGUAGCUUUUCAAAAUUUUUGUAGCUAUCUUAUUUAGGAGUAGACUACAUAGACUGGGAAGCAGGUUUGCAUGACAAGUUUCCCAGCUUGAAUUUCCCUUUGGCGUAGUGAUUUUGGGGUCCCUAGAUUUAUUUUUCUUCCAUAUUUACUUUUUCUUUGCUUAAAUUUAUCUUUGCCUAAAUUAAUUGUGGGACGGGAAAGGGAAAAUUUAUGUUUCAGAAGAAAACUAUGGUACACUUAUUAGUUUCUAGCUCUGAUCUUUUUUUUUUUUUUCAGUUUUGCUAUUUGCCCACAAUUUAAACUAAAUCCUAUUUUUUUUUCUGGUUACAGGCUUUCAGACAAAUUUUUCUCCUAUUUUUUAAGCUCACUGAAAUUGAUAAUACCUUUUUACCGAGGCCUUGCAAGCUGAAGUUUAUGCAUAAAUAACCUUGUGACAUACAAAUUACAGAUCACAAAAUCUGUCAGAUCGCCAAUGCCUCCUUCCACAGUAACUAAAGAUGCCUCUAGUUGAACAGCUGGAUACCUCAACUGACUGCUCUCCAGACUCUAAAGAAAUCCGUUUAUAGACUGCUCCAAAUAUUAACCUUUGUUUUUCUGCUGUUUGGGAGCCCAUCUGCAACGCCAUUUCCUGAAAUGAGACACAGCUGUUUAAUUGGACUGGUCUACUCGUAGAAAUAGAACACCAGUUUAAUGAUAAUUUUUGCUACUCAGCUAUUAACUCAAAUAUUAUCUUCACACCCAACAACUUAGAUUUUAGUGUGUGAAACUUUGAGGGACAUUUUAGACAGAGGACUUUUGGGGUGCAGAAGUGGUUCCCUGAUAUAUGACACCUGGGCAUGGUGAGUGCUUUUAAACAUUAAAAGACCUCAUAAAUAAGCCUCAGAAUCAUGGUCCCCCUAAAACUGUCUUGGGGCAGGAAGGGACUCUCUCUCUGUAAUUUCCUUAUCUGACUAAGAAAUCUUCUUCCCAAAAAACCACAAUUGCCAUCUAGCCCAUUCCUGAAAUCUCAUUUCAGACAGAAAUGUUACCAUAUCUGGAUGGUCUCUUUCACAAGAUAAUGCCUGCCUCUUGGGGUCAUUCAAAUUCCAAAAAGUAUUAUUUACAAGUUAAUUUCUGUCUCUAAAUUCCACACCUUUUCUUCCUAAUAAUCAUUUACUGCUCCUGAAUAGCAUUGUCUGCAUUCCUCAUCUCCUCCCUCCUUUGUGAAAAAGGGUUUAUAAGCCUCUGUCCCCACUGGGGGUUAGGGUAAUCACUCUGUGAUUCUCUCCAGUGCAUGUUAAAAAUGUGUAUACCUCUUCUCCAAUUAAUCUGUCUUCUGCCAGUCAAUUUUCAGCAAACCUUCAGAGGGCAAAGUAGAUGUUUCCCUUGGCCCCUGUACCCCUUAGGAGCCCUGAAACACUUAUUUUUCCAUAUUAUGCUCUUUAUAUUAAUUUGCUAAUUUACUGAACACAUAUUUUUCAAGCAACUCCUCAUUUGCUGGGCACCUUUCUGGGUGCUGGGACAUAAAGAGACGUGGAGAGAGUUGCCUUGUGAUACAGGAGGUAGAAAGAAAUUAUUUAGGCAGAUAGUGAGGGUAAAAGAGUCUUUGACAGAGCUUCCCUUUUAACAAAAAGCAGCCCAAGAAAUUAUUUUUUUUUCUAACAAAGGGCAGCCUGAAAAGUUGAGCUGCAAACAUAGACAAGCAAGCUGGAAGCUUGCAUGGGAAAUGCCAGCAGCUGUGCCAAUAGAAAAUGGCUACCUGGGGGUCAGGCACGUCCAACGUUGAGGCUCCAUCUUCCCUUUUUUUGUCACUGUGUGUACAGUAAAGGAAUGGGCAACAUGGUGCUGCCACAGCAGAGGACCUGCCUGCUUAAUGAGUGAUUAGGAUGGGGGUGGCCAAAAAUUCGCACCCUAUGCAAAUGGCACACCUAGUCCUAACCAGUUUUUCACACCCCAUGCAAAUGGCACACCUGGUCCAGCCAAUCUUUUGUGCUCUAUGUAAGUCAAAUACCACCCCCUCACCAGACAUCUAUAAAACCUCCUACAUUUCACCACGGCUCCAGCAGCUCAUUUCUUCGGGACCCUUCUCUGCUGCAGGGAGCCGUCCUCCUCCUUUCACCUGUUAAACAUCCACUCUCAACCUCACUCUUCGUGUGUCUGUACCCUUUAGUUUCUCAGCCAUGAGACAGUGAUUUCCAGGGUAUCGCCCCAGACAAUGAGGCCGUUUCACUUGCACACUCACUUGCACACUCGAUUUGUCCCACUCUAGGCCCCCUACUAGGUACCUUGGGUAAGUAAUACAGCAUAUUUUUAUCCUAUGUUUUCUUAAAAUAAGUAAUGGGGAUACUAGAAGCUACAAUCUCAGUCAUGCCAACAAUUAUGGAAUCCAUGGGAAGCACUUGUUACGGACUUAGACCUGGUGAGCGUCUGUAUUUUUUCUGUGGCUGUUGUAACAAAUUACUACCAACGUGGUGGUUUAAAACAAUUCCCACAGUAGAGCUGGCCUGAGUUCCAAGCACCUUCACGGGGCUAAAAUUGAGGUAUUUGGGGAGAGCUGCACUCCUUCUGGAGGCUUUGGGGAGCACCGGCCCUUGGCUCUCCUGACUUCAGGUGGCUGCCAGCACUCGGCUGCAGCUGCCUCACUGCAAUCUGUGCCUCUGUAGUCGUGCCGGGGCCAAGGCAACACGUCCCCUUCACCCUCUGAAGGCUUGCUGGUAAAUAAACUGACAAAAGGCAGAUUAAUUGGAGGAAAGGCAUGAACAUUUAUUAAUAGGUGCUUGGGGGAGAGCCACAGAGUGAUUGUCCCAUAUUCAAUGGGGCCCAGAUACUUGUAUAGCCCUAUUUCAGAGGGGAAGAGGAGAUGGGAAUGUAGGUAAUUACAGGGUGAUACAUGAUUAAAGAAGAGAAUAAAUAGAUCAGGGAACAGGGAUUCACUUGUAAAUGAUGCUCUUUGAAAAUUGACUGAGACUGAGAGACAGACAUUAUCUUGUGAAAGUCUGUCCUGGAGUGGUUACACUCUUGGUCCUGUUUUCUGUAAUAGAUAAUGAGCUAACAGAGAGAGGAAGGAAAGACAGUUGUUCUCCUUGGAUACUCCCUCUGGUCUCUAUGUAGACAGAGAAAAUUCUCCUCCAGCCUCUGUUGAUCUCUGAAGGUCUUUAAUUAAAAAUGCACAUUACAUCAGGGACCACUAUUUUGGGGUGAAGUUCUCUGCACUCCUUCAGUUUCACAUCUUCUGCCAGUUAAGCCACCCUCUGUCUCUCUCUUACAGUAGCACUUGUGAUUCCAUUUAAGGUACACCUCGAUAAUCAGAGCUAUUGCUCCACCACAGAAUCCUUAAACACAUUCCCAAAGACCCUUUCUCUACAUCGGGGAACAACUACACAUUCCAGAGAUUAGGACCUGAUACCUGUGUAAGCUAUUAUUUAGCUCACCACUACAUUUGAUAUAUACCUGUCCCUGGCCCCCAAUCAUUAGAUUAUAAAGAAGGGCUGUCCAAUUGUCAUCUGUCUUCACUGUGGUGCCAACCCUGGAGCUCCCUUGUUAAUACCUAUAUAAUCCUGAGCCCCAACAUGGUUUCAUCUACGCAGAGUAGGGCAGACCUCACCACGUGGGCCAUGGGGCAUUGACCUACUCUGUUUAUCGGUGAUCAGUUCUCUUCCCAUGAUCUGGCCUAAAGUUUCUGGAAAACAGUUUCUAUGCAUAAUUAUCCCAGGUGGAUAUUCCAGAGCUAUAAAAUGCAGAGAUCCUGUCCUGGCCCUGUGUCUAAGCUAGAGAAACAUUUAUUUCAGGUUAUUCUGAGGCUUGAUGGGAAUGACCCUGGUUCCUGGUCUAACCUAAUAGUAAACAUGUUCCCACAGCCAGGUUCUGAGUACUCCAUGGGGCCUGAGCUAACCUCAGUUUUGGGGGACUGUUCUACUUUGUGAAUCACUUUACCAGGCACACAGGCUCUGAAGUUCUUUUCUUCCCUCUUCUUUCCCUCUCUUCCUCAUUCUCCCUCUCCUCUCUCACUCCAUUGAUCUUUUUCUAUUCCUCAACUCCCCAUUUGCUGUCAUCUACUUUGAUUUCCUCAUUCUCCCUCAUGUCUAUAUAUCCAUAUACAGCUUAACUCCCCCCCUCCAUCUCAUCUGAUUCCUCUGUUGAUGAAAAAGCCAAACUCUGAAAAAUAUUUAGAGAUUUAUUCUUAACCAAUAUGAGUGACCAUGGUCAAGGGAACAGUCUUAGAAGGUCUGGAGAAAGUGAGGUGGUUGGAUUACAGCUUGGUUUAUACUUUUUGUGGAGACAAAAGUUACAGACAAAGACAUAAAUCAAUACAUGUGUCAGAGGUGUUUGAACCAGAGAGACUCCAUCUGAAUAGGGGCAUGGUAAAAUAAGAGUGAGACCUACUGGGCUGCAUUCCCAGGAGGUUAGGUAUUCUUAACUUCACAAGAUGAGAUAGGAGGUUGGCCGGAGAUGCAGGUCAUACAGACCUUGCUGAUAACACAGGUUGCAGUAAAGAAGCUGGUGAAAACCCCCGAAAACCAAGAUGGCAACGAGAGUGAUCUCUGGUCUUCACUGCUACACUCCCACUAGCACCAGGACAGUUUACAAAUGCCAUGGCAAUAUCAGGAAGUUACCCUAUAUGGCCUAAAAUGGGAGUCACGAAUAAUCCACCCCUUGUUUAAUAUAUCAUCAAGAAAUAACCAUAAAAAUGGGCAACCAGCAGCCCUCGAAGCUGCUCUGCCUAUGAUGUAGCUAUUCUUUAUUCCUUUGCUUUCACUUUACUGUAUGGACGCACCCCGAAUUCUUUCUUGCACAACAUCCAAGAACCCUCCCUUGGAGUCUGGACCCUGACCUCUUUCCAGUAACACAUGUAAGGUAUACAUUGGUAGGCCCAAAGAUGUGAAAUAUUUCAAAGUGGGGACUUACAGGUAAUAGGUGAAUUCAAGGAUUUUCUGAUCAGCAUUUGGUUGAAAGAAUUUAGCUUUGUCUAAAGACAGUAGAAAGACAUGCUUGAGUUAAGAAAAGGAAGGUUGUGGAAGCCAAGGUUCUUGUUAUGUAGAUGAAGCCUCUAGGUAGUAUUCUUCUGAGAGAAUAGAUGGUCAAUGUCUCUUUUCAGAUUUUAAAUACAGUCCAACUCAAUUAAAUCUCCUCUAGACGUGGCAAAGACCUAGAAAGGGAAAGAGAUUCUAAAGAUGCAAAACUUUACCCCACAAAAGGCUUUGCAGGGCCAUUUCAAAAUAUAUCAGAUAAAUAUAUUUUGAAGUAAAGUGUGUCAGUUUCUUUCAGGGUCUGCUGUCGUGUGAUGCUAUACCAGAGUCAAGUUGGAAUUUGGCAUCUUACUGCCAAAGGGUCUGUUUCAUCCAUAUAAGGAUGUCUAUUUUAAUGUUAAUGCUGGUAAGUUUUGCCUAAACUCCAAAAAAAGAGGGGGUAUAAUGAGGCAUGUCUGACCUGUCUUCCUUCAUGGCCUGGAAUUCAGUUUUUUCGGUUUCUUUGUAAUUCCCUUGGCCCAGAGGGUGGACCCAUUCAUUCGGUCUGAUGGAGGGCUUAGAGAUUUUAUUUUUGGUUUACACCUCAGACUCGAUUCAAGUCAGCAAAUACUUUUAGCACAAAGUAUAUGCCAGAUAUUGUUUAAAGUGGGAUAAAGAACAGAUGGUAUGCCUGGCAUGGUCCUGAUCUGGAAGGACCUAACCUCUUCCUGCCUCUUCCUGGAACCUGUCUUUGCUUUUCAAAUGCCUGCCAGUCUCUGCCUAUCCUUUCCACUCUGUGUCCUGAUUUCUUGUGUUCUCCUCUCACUUUCUCUUGUGUUCUCUGUCCUCUCUCUUCCUUUUGUUCUAAAAUGGCAUCAAAAUCUUAUAAUAAAAAUCUAUCUCCCAUGUUACUUGAAUGACUCUCUACCAAUCUCAUUAUGUUUGUUAUAGAUGAAUAUAAUAUGAGUGAUUUUAAAAAUAUUAUUUUAUUAAAUAAAUUAUGAAAAAUACACAGCAAGGCCUGGGAUUGACAUGCUCAUUUUCAGCCUCAAUAUUAAAUCUCUAGACUGCACAAAUGAUUACACAUUGAACUAAAUGUAUGGUUUUAUCUUUUGUGCCUAUAAAGAAAAGUCUUUCAUAUUAUACAAUUUGUACCACUUUCUCUUUUUUUUGCACAUACACUUCUCCAGCUCCAUUGCCAAACCUCAGCUGUCAAUUCUGUUUAGUCCCGUUGAUGAAAAGAACCAAAUUCUAAAAUAUUUGAAGAGAUUCUUUCUGAACCAUAUAGGAGUGACCAUGGCCCAUGACACAGCCCUCAGGAGAUCUUGAGAACAUGUGCUCAAGGUGGUAGGGGUGUGGCUUGGUUUUAUGCAUUUUAGGGAGACAUGAGACUUCAAUCACAC